rnacentral:rRNA from 1 species
GUUUGAUGUUCUAACGUGGACCCGUGAUCCGGGUUGCGGACAGUGUCUGGUGGGUAGUUUGACUGGGGCGGUCUCCUCCUAAAGAGUAACGGAGGAGCACGAAGGUUGGCUAAUCCUGGUCGGACAUCAGGAGGUUAGUGCAAUGGCAUAAGCCAGCUUGACUGCGAGCGUGACGGCGCGAGCAGGUGCGAAAGCAGGUCAUAGUGAUCCGGUGGUUCUGAAUGGAAGGGCCAUCGCUCAACGGAUAAAAGGUACUCCGGGGAUAACAGGCUGAUACCGCCCAAGAGUUCAUAUCGACGGCGGUGUUUGGCACCUCGAUGUCGGCUCAUCACAUCCUGGGGCUGAAGUAGGUCCCAAGGGUAUGGCUGUUCGCCAUUUAAAGUGGUACGCGAGCUGGGUUUAGAACGUCGUGAGACAGUUCGGUCCCUAUCUGCCGUGGGCGCUGGAGAACUGAGGGGGGCUGCUCCUAGUACGAGAGGACCGGAGUGGACGCAUCACUGGUGUUCGGGUUGUCAUGCCAAUGGCACUGCCCGGUAGCUAAAUGCGGAAGAGA